AACUGGGAUUAGAUACCCCACUAUGCUUAGCCCUAAACAUCGAUUGCACCAUACACUCCAUAUCCGCCCGGGAAUUAUGAACGUCAGUUUAAAACCCAAAGGACUUGGCGGUGCUUAACAUCCACCUAGAGGAGCCUGUUCUA
rnacentral:rRNA from 3 species